rnacentral:rRNA from 1 species
CCUACGGGAGGCAGCAGUGGGGAAUAUUGCACAAUGGGGGGAACCCUGAUGCAGCAAUGCCGCGUGGGUGAAGAAGCACUCCGGUGCGUAAAGCCCUGUCAGCAGGGAAGAAAAUGACAGUACCUGGACAAGAAGCCCCGGCUAACUACGUGCCAGCAGCCGCGGUAAUACGUAGGGGGCAAGCGUUAUCCGGAUUCACUGGGUGUAAAGGGAGCGUAGACGGCCAUGCAAGCCAGGGGUGAAAGCCCGGGGCCCAACCCCGGGACUGCCCUUGGAACUGCAUGGCUGGAGUGCGGGAGGGGCAGGCGGAAUUCCUGGUGUAGCGGUGAAAUGCGUAGAUAUCAGGAGGAACACCGGCGGCGAAGGCGGCCUGCUGGACCGCGACUGACGUUGAGGCUCGAAAGCGUGGGGAGCGAACAGGAUUAGAUACCCUUGUAGUC